CACGUAGGGCGCAAGCGUUGUCCGGAAUUAUUGGGCGUAAAGAGCUCGUAGGCGGUCUGUUGCGUCUGCUGUGAAAACCCGGGGCUUAACCCCUGGCUUGCAGUGGAUACGGACAGACUAGAGGUAGGUAGGGGAGAAUGGAAUUCCCGGUGUAGCGGUGAAAUGCGCAGAUAUCAGGAGGAACACCGGUGGCGAAGGCGGUUCUCUGGGCAUGUCCUGACGCUGAGGAGCGAAAGUGUGGGGAGCGAACAGG
rnacentral:rRNA from 1 species